rnacentral:rRNA from 1 species
UGGGCAGGUGGGGGGGGGGCCUAUACUGCAGUGGAACGCACGAGGUACACCGUAGUUUACUACACCGUACUUUGUGAGUCGCGAACGGGUGAGUAACGCGUAGGUAACCUACCUUUUAGCGGGGGAUAACUAUUGGAAACGAUAGCUAAUACCGCAUAAGAUAUCUUACUGCAUGGUAAGAUAUUAAAAGAUGCAAUUGCAUCACUAAGAGAUGGACCUGCGUUGUAUUAGCUAGUAGGUGAGGUAACGGCUCACCUAGGCGACGAUACAUAGCCGACCUGAGAGGGUGAUCGGCCACACUGGGACUGAGACACGGCCCAGACUCCUACGGGAGGCAGCAGUAGGGAAUCUUCGGCAAUGGGGGGAACCCUGACCGAGCAACGCCGCGUGAGUGAAGAAGGUUUUCGGAUCGUAAAGCUCUGUUGUAAGAGAAGAACGAGUGUGAGAGUGGAAAGUUCACACUGUGACGGUAACUUACCAGAAAGGGACGGCUAACUACGUGCCAGCAGCCGCGGUAAUACGUAGGUCCCGAGCGUUGUCCGGAUUUAUUGGGCGUAAAGCGAGCGCAGGCGGUUAGAUAAGUCUGAAGUUAAAGGCUGUGGCUUAACCAUAGUACGCUUUGGAAACUGUUUAACUUGAGUGCAGAAGGGGAGAGUGGAAUUCCAUGUGUAGCGGUGAAAUGCGUAGAUAUAUGGAGGAACACCGGUGGCGAAAGCGGCUCUCUGGUCUGUAACUGACGCUGAGGCUCGAAAGCGUGGGGGAGCAAACAGGAUUAGAUACCCUGGUAGUCCACGCCGUAAAACGAUGAGUGCUAGGUGUUGGGUCCUUUCCGGGACUCAGUGCCGCAGCUAACGCAUUAAGCACUCCGCCUGGGGAGUACGACCGCAAGGUUGAAACUCAAGGAAUUUGACGGGGGCCCGCACAAGCGGUGGAGCAUGUGGUUUAAUUCGAAGCAACGCGAAGAACCUUACCAGGUUCUUGACAUCCCGGUGCCCGUCCUAGAGAUAGGAUUUUGCUUCGGCACCACCGGUGACAGGUGGUGCAUGUUUGUCGUCAGCUCGUGCCGU